AUGCUGAGUAUUGGGGAAUAUUCAACUUUUCAAGUUUCAACUUAUUCUGUCAUCUUUAUUUUGGUUCUCUGCCACUUGGAGUGCCUUGGGUUUCACUUAACAUGUGAGUACAUGUAUGGAACAGAGGAAAAAAGAAAGAGGGCAAUUCAAUUUCAGAGAGAAAGAGAGAGAUACGUACAUGUAUGGUUCAGCCAAUGA
rnacentral:rRNA from 1 species